UACGGGGGGGGCAAGCGUUGUUCGGAAUUACUGGGCGUAAAGGGCGCGUAGGCGGCCAACUAAGUCGGAUGUGAAAUCCCCAGGCUUAACCUGGGAACUGCAUCCGAUACUGGUUGGCUUGAAUCCGGGAGAGGGAUGCGGAAUUCCAGGUGUAGCGGUGAAAUGCGUAGAUAUCUGGAGGAACACCGGUGGCGAAGGCGGCAUCCUGGACCGGCAUUGACGCUGAGUGAGCGAAAGCCAGGGGAGCAAACGGG
rnacentral:rRNA from 1 species